rnacentral:rRNA from 1 species
UACCUGGUUGAUCCUGCCAGUAGUCAUAUGCUUGUUUCAAGGACUAAGCCAUGCAAGUCUCAGAAUAAAUGGAUCACAGUGAGUCUGCAGACAGCUCAUUAAAUCAGCUACAAUCUACGCCGAGAAACUGCCUUGUGGCAGACUAUUGGAUAACUUUGGUAACCCCAAAGCUAAUACAUGUCAGCAAAACCCACACAGAUUCCACCUCGGGGCCUUGGUUCUGGGGCUGUGUUGGGUGCAAUUGACCGAAACAAAAACCAACGCUAGCAAUAGCAGCGGUGAUUGGAUGACUCAGGUCAAUCGAGUAGUAGCGCAUACUUCGGUGGCGCUUGUCGGCAUGAGCAUCUGCCCUAUCAGCUUUUGACGGUAGUGUAGUGGAUUACCGUGGCUGUAACGGGUAACGGGGAAUUAGGGUUCGAUUCCGGAGAGGGAGCCCGAGAAACGGCUACCACAACUAAGGUUGGCAGCAGGCGCGCAAAUUGCCCAAUAGCAACACAUCGCUGAGGCAGCGAAGAGAAAUAGCAACUUCAUGCGGCCCUGCCGUGUGAAGAUUGCCAUGGACGAUAUCUAAACCUGUCGGUGAGUAUCAAUUUGGUGGACAAAGUCUGGUGCCAGCACCCGCGGUAAUUCCAGCACCAAUAGC